UGGGGAAUUUUGGACAAUGGGCGCAAGCCUGAUCCAGCCAUGCCGCGUGCGGGAAGAAGGCCUUCGGGUUGUAAACCGCUUUUGUCAGGGAAGAAAUCUUCUGAGUUAAUACCUCGGGAGGAUGACGGUACCUGAAGAAUAAGCACCGGCUAACUACGUGCCAGCAGCCGCGGUAAUACGUAGGGUGCAAGCGUUAAUCGGAAUUACUGGGCGUAAAGCGUGCGCAGGCGGUUUUGUAAGACAGAGGUGAAAUCCCCGGGCUCAACCUGGGAACUGCCUUUGUGACUGCAGGGCUUGAGUGCGGCAGAGGGGGGCAUGGAAUUCCGCGUGUAGCAGUGAAAUUGCGUAGAUAUGCGGAGGAACACCGAUGGCGAAGGCAAUCCCCUGGGCCUGCACUGACGCUCAUGCACGAAAGCGU
rnacentral:rRNA from 1 species